UACGUAGGGUGCGAGCGUUAAUCGGAAUUACUGGGCGUAAAGGGUGCGCAGGCGGUCUCGUAAGCUGGGUGUGAAAGCCCCGGGCUUAACCUGGGAAUGGCAUUCAGGACUGCGAGGCUUUGAGUGUGGCAGAGGGAGGUGGAAUUCCACGUGUAGCAGUGAAAUGCGUAGAGAUGUGGAGGAACACCGAUGGCGAAGGCAGCCCCCUGGGCUAACACUGACGCUCAUGCACGAAAGCGUGGGGAGCAAACAGG
rnacentral:rRNA from 1 species